GAUAUAUAUAUAACAUCAAAACCAAAUACAUGAAUUUGGGAUAGACAAGUACCGUGACACGUCUUAUCACAAUGUGAAUUUACACUCAAAAAUAAGAGAAAACAAACGACACAACGUUAUAAUGUAAUACACACAGAAACGAACUAUAAUAUAACAAUGGCCAUAUUCCUGACUUGGUACAGGGCAUUUUUAAAGGGAAAAAAUGGUGGGUUGAACAUGGUUUUGUGGCAUGCCAAACCUUGCACUUUUAUUGCCAUGUGAAAUAUAACAUCAAAAUGACAACACAGGACUACAAUAUAAAUAAAUUGGAGAACACAAUUGACAAAGAAUCACACGAACAACAGCCAACAAAAGGCAACAAGUUCAAAAUUUUAAUACGCCAGAAGUGUAUUAUGUCCACACAAGACCUACGUGAGAC
rnacentral:lncRNA from 1 species